rnacentral:rRNA from 1 species
AGACGAACGCUGGCGGCGUGCUUAACACAUGCAAGUCGAACGGGAGUAUUGAAGAAGCUUGCUUUAGAGAUACUUUAGUGGCGGACGGGUGAGUAACGCGUGAGGAGCUGUCCUAUGCAGGGGGACAACAGCUGGAAACGGCUGCUAAUACCCCAUAAGCCGAGAGGUAAAAGGAUCAAUCCGGCAGAGGAGGUACUCGCGUCCUAUCAGCUAGUAGGUGAGGUAACGGCUCACCUAGGCGAAGACGGGUAGCCGGCCUGAGAGGGCGAACGGCCACACUGGAACUGAGAUACGGUCCAGACUCCUACGGGAGGCAGCAGUGGGGAAUAUUGGGCAAUGGGGGGAAAAACCCCCUGACCCAGCGACGCCGCGUGGGUGAAGAAAUCCUUCGGGAUGUAAAGCCCUGUUGUAUGGGAAGAGCGGAAGACGGUACCAUACGAGGAAGCCCCGGCAAACUACGUGCCAGCCGCCGC